GACGAACGCUGGCGGCGUGCUUAACACAUGCAAGUCGAACGGAAAGGCCCCCUUGUGGGGUACUCGAGUGGCGAACGGGUGAGUAACACGUGAGUAACCUACCCUUGACUUUGGGAUAACUUCAGGAAACUGGGGCUAAUACCGGAUAGGAGCUCCUGCUGCAUGGUGGGGGUUGGAAAGUUUCGGCGGUUGGGGAUGGACUCGCGGCUUAUCAGCUUGUUGGUGGGGUAGUGGCUCACCAAGGCUUUGACGGGUAGCCGGCCUGAGAGGGUGACCGGCCACAUUGGGACUGAGAUACGGCCCAGACUCCUACGGGAGGCAGCAGUGGGGAAUAUUGCACAAUGGGAGGAAGCCUGAUGCAGCAACGCCGCGUGCGGGAUGACGGCCUUCGGGUUGUAAACCGCUUUCGCCUGUGACGAAGCGUGAGUGACGGUAAUGGGUAAAGAAGCACCGGCUAACUACGAG
rnacentral:rRNA from 1 species